CCCAUCGGCUUCCUCCCUAUUUUGCCGCAGUUGUGUUUCCGUCGACAGAAAUGUAAAUCAAGGCGGAGACUACAGUCGACUUUCACUCUGCUCCUUAAUACCAAGACUACCUGCGAGAUUCUUCUAAUUCCCUCGUUUCACCAUCCCAACACAUCUCCUAAAUUUUCCGCACAAUCUGAACCUAGACUGUGUAAUGAGCAUCGUCUUCCAUGGGUAUAGAGAAAGAUUCUUUCUCACACGAUCUAUCUACAUCUGACCAGCAACAAACGAAUAUAGGCAUAGAAAAGCACAAGAAGCACGGUAGAUGUACAUGCAGACAAAUUUCGCAGUUCAUAAGCUUGGAUUUAAAGAGUCCAGUGCAACAAAUGAAGGAAGAAAAGUUGUUGGGUUAGAUGGCAUUGAUGCCAAAGCAAACACUUCAAAGAAAAAUGACACAAUUUGCAGGUGGCAGAAAGAUCAUGGAAUUACCUGACAGGUUCUUGAACAACUGCUUGAUAAGAGGCUAAGUCGCGAUGAUGCAGCUAAAACUCUUAAAAGUUAGCACAUCUACAUUGAAGUGGGCAUGUCGGGAUUUUGGCAUCACUAGAUGGCCAAACCACAACAGAAAAAGGACAAAUUCCUUUCUCAACCAAAAACAAGCUGAUAAGAAGCAUAAAGGAACUCAAUCAUAUCCUGCCCUGCCUCCUAAUGUCUGUCAAGGAAAUGAGAAUCCACUCAUAGAGAAACUCCUAGAAAGCUACAAUGGUCUCAUGCAACACUUCUUGCUCCCUCCAAUAAUUUUCUACACAAUGAGUUUAUUAAAUGUGUGAUUUUAGGUUUCCAUGUCUAUAUGCUGGCGGAAAGUUCAAAUCCAAGGGAAGAUGAUGUUGAUCCUAACAAGUAACAGUAUGAACUAUGAGUGAGCUGCAAUUUGCAGGAAAGAGGUCUACCCAACAAAGAGGAGUUAAAUACAACGGUUUACAGAUUAUAUUUCAUUGGGUAGUAUAGUUCAUGAUGUUAGAGACUUGAUAUUGAUUUUUUUUAUGGAUUAUUAUAUUGUUGUUGAGACAUGAAUUUGGUAUUAAGUACAACAAUCACAUUUUUGAACUAUAAAGUGGUAUUACUUUUA